AAAAUGUGUUAUAAUGAAAGCUUCUAACUUUUGUAAUGUAAUUGAGUUUACUACAUUUUA
rnacentral:tRNA from 1 species